CCCUUAGAUGUUCUGGGCCGCACGCGCGCUACACUGACGAAGUCAGCGAGCAUGUCCUACGCCGACAGGUGCGGGGAAUCUUGUCAAACUUCGUCGUGAUGGGGAUUGAUUUUUGAAAUUCUUGAUCAUAAACGAGGAAUUCCUAGUAAGCGCAAGUCAGCAGCUUGCGUUGAUUACGUCCCUGCCCUUUGUACACACCGCCCGUCGCUACUACCGAUUGAAUGGUUUAGUGAGAUCUUCGGAUUGGCGCCACUGCAACUCAGCAAUGGGCUUGGUGGAUGCCGAAAAGUUGAUCAAACUUGAUCAUUUAGAGGAAGUAAAAGUCGUAACA
rnacentral:rRNA from 1 species